rnacentral:lncRNA from 1 species
AUCUUCGAUUCCAAAGGGAACAAUAAUAUUCUCGCCAAUGAUUUGAAAAAAAAAAAAGAGAAAAAGGGAGUUCGUUUCCCGUGUCAAAUAAGUAUCCCUUAAAACAUGAAAUGAAAGUAUGCAUCGAGGAAAUGAACGUGCACAUUAAUGGAGUGGUUUCUCAAAUAGGGGGGCCCCCUUCCUUUCCGCGCCAACAUGUGGGUGUAUAUCUAGGCUGUACCUAGCUCCACGGAGCAAUCAACCCCCUUUUUUCGAAGCCAACCACCGAGACCAUCCUCUUGCACGAGGAAUGCGCGGUGUAGGUCAGCUGCUCCUUCUGUGAAACUAAACUUCCUGCGUCCACGUGCACAUCUGCUCCCUUUCAGGCACCUGGAAGGGGAAAUCUCGUGGUCCUGGAUGAGUAUACGUAGUCACGUAUCACGUGUAUCCCGAGGGUUCUUCGCGACUCGAUGGUGUACAUGUAUAAUGAUGGAGGAACAUAAAUAUUCUCGUCGUUAAUUACAGGUAUGGAAGAUUUAUUCUUUGUUUCGUGUUCUCCGGUAUUUAUGGGGAAUAAUAAUGGAUUGGUAUUGUUACGUCACAUUGACAGAGAGUCUAUGAGAAGUUUUUAUUGAGAUUUUUAUACGGUUCGUACAUUUGAAUAUUGUUCCGUGUAUCAUAAUGUGCGAGUUCUUGUGAAUUGUGUUUCCUGACUCUUUGAAUGAUCAGAAGAUAUUUAAAUGAAUGUUUUCUAUUUUUAGAGAAGAUUUUUAUGAACGUAUGAGGAAUAAAUUGUGAUAAUAUUGAUUUUUAUGACAGCCAAAUUGAAAAGUUGAUUCUUAGAAAGAUCUAUGAAAAUGAAAUAGACAGUAUGUAUAUUGUGCGGAUAUAAACUAUUAUUGAGGUAGUUUAACGAAACAAUUAACGGAUCAAUAAAAAUGAACGAGAAAUUCAAUAUGAUGUAUCAAGGUUCAUCAAUGAAAAUUUCCCCGGUUCGAGGUGACGUUGCAACGAGCAAAAUCCUUGAGAUGUUAGAUCCCAUAUCGGGAAAGUGGCAGGAAUUCCGAGCAAACGGGACACCCUGUAUUCGCUUGGUUGUGUAAUCGGCCUUAAGGAUAAACGGACGCACACACGUUUAAGUAGCAUUCGCAAGUAGGGAGGUUCGUAUCACAAAACGGCCAAGUGAAAGGAUAGGCACCAGUUCAUCUUGUGUCUCAACCUCCAACCAACCUUCUCGAAUAUAUCCAUUCGUGCUGCAAGUGCGUCAGCUAUUCGCAUAAAACAACGGUUAAUUCGAAUUCACGUCGUUCACUCGGCGAGCGAAACGAGAAACGCAGUUAUAUUAUUCCUUUGACUAUUUUUUUCAGAAGGAAAAUACAUUCGUGUUUAUUCGUUGCUUGUUUUACGAGGGCACGCAUAAGUUAUUAUAUAAAUUUCUACCAUUCGUGGCGAUGCACACAGAUAAUGGAUAAAAGAAUUCGAGAAAGUUGCACAACAACUAAAAGAUAUCGUACAAAUAUACAUCUUGUAUAAUUCUCAACAGGAAAUUUCAGCAAUUUUAUUUCCCUCAAUUUACCUAACACCACAAAAGAAUCAGCCAACAGCUUAUCAUCACACGACAUCUUUCUCUUAUUUCGAUCUUCAUCUCCACAAUCGCCUACCAACGUGUAAUUAAGGAUCAUGAAUAUUCGACCGCCAUUCCGUUCCUUUCUUCCAUCGAUCUAAACAACCAGGAUCUCGAUCUAGAUAACUGGCUCGAUAUCAUUUCCACGAGCAAUCCAAUUUUACGCAGAAGGAAAAGCGAAAUCUGAGUAUCAACAAUAUUCCCAGACGUUGAACAUCUUCGAAAGCGUGCGCAACAUCUGUUCGCCUCAAUUGUGAAAUCACUCCCAAUUUUCAACGUGGAAAGAAACCUUUCGAACUCAACUCGACUGGGUAAAAUAACGAUGAAAUCACGGAGGAACGCACCGCUUGCACGGAUCGAGGAUGCACCUGCAUCUGGUGCAUUUUCGGAUGGAUCACUGGCCAGAUGUCCCUCACACCCGUGUCGAGCUUUGGUACACGUUUCUGGCUGCUGUUCAAAAUUAUCCAGAAUUCAAUUAUUCUUUGUUUGAAGUGAAUUUGGAUAGGAUAAUUUAAGAUUAGAAGAUUUUUAAAUACUGCUAUUGACUACUAUUGAGUGAUGUUACGUGGAAUGUUGUAUUCGUUGAAGUGAAUUGAUAAUAUGAAUGAUAGUGAGAUAAUUUAGAAGAUUUUUGGAUGAUGUGUCCGUUCAAAUUUGGAAUGAGUUGAUACUGUAGAUGGUAAUUAUUAUACGAAUCAACAUCGUUGGAUGAUUAUCUUAUAUGACAACGCCCAUUGUCUAUUAAAUGAAAUUAUCGAGUAAAUUUGUCGCAAUCUGAUCACAGGAUUAACGAGACAUAAAAUUUCAUAGAAUUAAAAUUUGUUCACAGAAAGUUGAGAUAAUUACUGGAGGAUAUUGCAAUUAUUAAAAACAUUCUGUUAUUACAAGAUUAUGAUAAUACAACGACAACGGAGUAUACAAAAAUCUUAAUUUAUAAUCGAAGCAAGAAAUCAAAUUUGUUUCAACAAAAUUCUAUUUUAAUUAUAUCUUUCUUUCAUUAACAAUUAUUCAAUGUGUCCUAUAACGAAACUUUAUUUUUCAGUUCCAACCAAUUUGCAAUAAACAGGAUAUAGAAUAUCGUGACACGUCGCCCACCACAUGAAACAUCGAAAUAUUUUAUCGAAAUACACAGCUUCAAGGACUACGAGUUUUACAAGCAAUACACAGAAUUAAUCACAAUAUGCAUUCUCGCGUUAUUAUUUUCUAAAAGAUCCACAAAUAACGCAUCAAUGUGCACGAUGAAAUACGUAAACACAAAUUACGUGGAAAUUUAUUCGAUCAUUCCCACACGGGUAACCAAUCCUUAAGAUCAAUCGACAUGGAGGGAGAAUCAAAAAGUUGUCUACGAGAAUACUUUUUUCUCGUAAAGGAUUCCAAAGAAUCGAAACAUUCGAAGUGAAAAGGAAAUAAAAUAGGAGACGCGAUGUUGAAUCUACGAUCGGAGCAGGUGGUACGUGGAAUUACAGACCCUUCUCCUAUUCGCAUAUAUGUACAAGUAUGCGCUGGAAUUCGGUGUUCUCCCUUUCAUACUAAUUCAUUCACCUUAAACAGAAUAGUUUAAAAAAU